GAGUGUAAAGGCACAAGGGAGCUUGACUGCGAGACCUACAAGUCGAGCAGGGACGAAAGUCGGGCUUAGUGAUCCGGUGGUUCCGCAUGGAAGGGCCAUCGCUCAACGGAUAAAAGCUACCCCGGGGAUAACAGGCUUAUCUCCCCCAAGAGUCCACAUCGACGGGGAGGUUUGGCACCUCGAUGUCGGCUCAUCGCAUCCUGGGGCUGUAGUCGGUCCCAAGGGUUGGGCUGUUCGCCCAUUAAAGCGGUACGCGAGCUGGGUUCAGAACGUCGUGAGACAGUUCGGUCCCUAUCCGUCGUGGGCGUAGGAAAUUUGAGAGGAGCUGUCCUUAGUACGAGAGGACCGGGAUGGACACACCGCUGGUGUACCAGUUGUCUUGCCAAAGGCAUCGCUGGGUAGCUAUGUGUGGACGGGAUAAGUGCUGAAAGCAUCUAAGCAUGAAGCCCCCCUCAAGAUGAGAUUUCCCAUAGCGCAAGCUAGUAAGAUCCCUGAAAGAUGAUCAGGUUGAUAGGUCAGAGGUGGAAGCGUGGCGACAUGUGUAGCUGACUGAUACUAAUCGAUCGAGGACUUAACCAAAUU
rnacentral:rRNA from 2 species